rnacentral:lncRNA from 1 species
GACUUCUUGUAAUCUAGAAGCAGCAAGAGCAGAUGUGCUUGUAAGAAACAAAGAUCUUGUUUUCAUACAAAUGUUCUCAAAAUAAAACACAAAGGAAGAAAAAUACGCAGAGCACAUAAGAAUUGGUUCUAAAUAGAAUGUUUUACAAAGUUUUCCAUAAAGCCUCAGCUGCUCCUCAAAGCACAACCAGCUUGAACAUGGAUAACAGACGUGAAAUUACAGUACUCACAAAAUUAGUAUUCAGGUUGUAUGAUCUCUCCUUACAAAGGCUUCAAGCAUACUUUAUGCAUGCACAAUUAUGGAAGCAGGUAAUGAGAGAGAUUCUGACUUUCCCCCUAUUGUUGCUAUUGUACUUAGCUAGAUAAGGCUUGAUAAAAAUUGCUUUGUUAAGAAUAAAUCUAAGCAAUAAUUUAUUAAUUCUAUUGAAAAGAGUUUUCGCCUUUUAUUAUAAGGUACAUUGGAUAAUUUUUCUAAAACACACAUUAUUCUGUCCAUGGAGAUAGGUAGCAACAUAAUCAACUUUUACUAAAAAAUCAGAGCUCAGUAACAAUUAAUAAUCUGCAAGCUAUGGUAAUUCUUUACAAUUUUAUUAUUUCAUAUCACAAUUAAUUUCACUUCAAUAAUUAGAGAUUUAAAAAAGGAUAUUCAAAGUUUAUGAUUAUGACCCCCUGAAAUAUAUAGAUAGGAUAAACAAUAUAUCAAAUGAAUGGGUUGUGUCAAAAUAUAUUACAAUGCUUUCACUAUGUCACUUUGAAUUUAAUUCUCUUCCUUGAUGGUCAUUGAUAACAUCCUAAAUUAAUUCUUCAGAUUCUCAAAUAUCUCCCACAGUAACUUCAAAUAUUUCUUGGAAUUAAUCAAAAUUUAAAUAAUAAAAUGAAUUAAUUAUGAUAAAGGUAUCAGUCCCUGCAAUUUAAAAAAAAAUCUCUCUAUCCAACUUACAAUAUGAAUUUGCCAAAAAGUUGAUUUUUUUAUUAAAAAUUUUUUGACGUUUAUUAUUUUAAGAGAGAGAUAGGGAAUGAGUUGAGGAGGGAGAGAAAGAGGAAGACAGAGAAUCUGAAGCAGGCUCCAAGUUCUGAGCCAGACAUGGGGCUUGAACCCAUGAACCGUGAGAUCAUGACCUGAGCCGAAGUUAGAUGUUUAACCAACUGGGCCACCCAGGUGCCCCUUGCCAAAAGAAGUUUAAAUUCUUCUAUAGCUAAAUGAGAAAUAAGAAUUGAGUGGAAAGGCGAUAAGCUAACAAUUCUGACCAUUCCUAAAAUAUAUUGCUCCUAAAGAAAUCUACUAUAGAACAGUCUUUCAAAAAAAAACAUAAAAGAUAAGAAUGAGAUACGUUAGUCCAGAAUUCUGCAUUACUAUUAAGUAAUAGCAUAUACUAUUUGCUUUACUUUCAAUUUAAUGUACACAUUAAUUUUUCAUCUCAUUCAAAUGAAAACUGAAUUUGUUAACUUAAUCGUGAAAUGCAAAAAUACCAGAAUUACAUAAAAGAAAACAUACAAAUAAAAGAAUACAAAUUAAAAGUUCACUAUGUUCUCUAGCCUGGGUUAAAAAAAAUUGAGAAUAAGUAACAGGUGUUUAAUCCUAGUUUUAGUUCUGUGAUCAUACCGAAGUCAUAUACUAUUUUAAGACAUAAGCUCACUUUUUUAAAGUACAUAAUAUGAAUACAGUACUCUAAAUGGACACCAAUGUUUGAGGUAUAUAGUGAGAACUGAAAUAUUAUGAUAAUAUAACUUCUAAAGAAGAGGAGUAAAAACACUCCAGAGACAGGCUUUUUAUAAACACUGCAAAGAGAAGAAAACAAAGUGACUUUUAAUAACUGCAAAAGGCAAUAAUAGUUUGGUUUGAUUUAGCCAAUGUGCAAAGACCUAAAUCAAAAAUAACAUAGCAUAGAUACUUGAAAAUAGCAAAAGAGAAAGGAAAUUGCAUUAAAGGUGCUUUUUAAUGAAUGAAUGACUAGACAGCUUUGGAAUAUUUUAUACUACUUUACUGAUGAAGGAUUCAAUCUCAAUGAUAAUUUUAACAAAGAUGGUACCAAAUCUGUGUAGAUCAUUGUAUUAAGACAUAAGACCAUUAUAAAAAAUGUUGACCCAGUCUUUCUCUAACAUUGCUCCACUAUAGUAAGGGAGAUAAGAUACACAUACAUGAAAAACAUAUAUUUUAUUGUGAGCUAAAUACAAACAUUAUUAAUGUAGAUAGUAGAUGUUAAGUUAGCCUAAAUGGAAUUAUAAAACAUGUAUUUAUAACAUAUAGUAGCAAAAUAGUUCAGGGGUACAAUACAAAAUGUGGUUUAAUAAUUAAACAGAACUAAAGAUGCUUAUAAAUAUGAUAUGUUAGAAUAUGCUGUCUUUUCAUAUACAAAAGUUUUUGUCUAUAAUUAGGUUUUUUUUUUUUUUAAUCUUUGAUUUCAUUAAACAAUGCUUAUGUCAAAUUUUCCAUUUUAAAGACUUCCAAUGAGGGUGAACAAACAAAAACUGGAUAGUGUCUGCACUCUGGGGGAGAUAUCUUAGUUUGCAAAUUGUCAAAAAACCUUGCACCCCCUACAUGAGUGUGGGUUAAUUUAGCUGUUUGUUGCUAUGUGAGGUUUUUCUAGGCAAUGACACAUAUGCUCUAAUUUAUAGUUGGCUGAAAUCUGUAUUAAAAAAAAAACCUGAAUCUGACAUAUUUUAUCAGGAGAAUUACAUUCUGAAGAGCAAGCAUGAGAGAUAUGUAUUCUGAUCCAUGUGGCAGAGACUAUGUUUAUUUUUCUAAUUUUUCUUUUAAAAAUGGAAACAAGAUUUUUAAAAAUUGGGAAGGAAAUAAAUAGAAACAUACAGGACAGAACAACGGUCAGCUUGUAUGUCACUAUCAUCAACUUCUAACUGCAAUCACACUAAUUUAAGAAUGUCCUUUAAAAACUUCUAUUCAGAUGAUUUGCUUGCUUAAUUUAUUGAAGAAACACAAUAUAACUUUUACCAGGGUGUAGGGCUGUUCUCUGCCUUGAUUUGAUCAGUUACAAACAUCAACUCACUUAAUCCUAUUUAAAAACAAAAAACCUUGUGAGGUAAAUUCUAUUAUUACCAUCCAGUUUCAAUAGAUGAGGAGACAGAGAUUAAGACAUUUGUCUAAUUAAGUAACACAGUAAAUGGUAGAACUGAGGUUUGACCCUAGGCUUUCUGAUUCAAGAUUUUUGAUUACCAUGCCAUCAAUGACACUUUUGUCAUUAUCAGCUGGGUCAAUUUGUCUUGGAGCACUGAGCUGGGAAAUUUUGUGUGUGUGUUUGGGCUAAUGACUUCACAGGCUUCCUAGGUAAUUAGAGCAAUUAGUGUAUUUCCUCUUUUGCUUGGUUGCUAUGAGUUCAGAAGCAAGCUUUGUAUUCAAUUGUGGUUUUUUUUAUAAACAGAAUUUCUUGAUUAUUUUUCUUUCCCCUUUGCUUCUUAGUUUCUUUCAUGUUAUACGUAGUUUUUUUUAUGCUAUUGUUCUCUGAAUUCACAAUGAGUUCAAAUUCUUUUUGGAAGUAUUGGGGCAUCAAUCACUAAUCAACUUCUAACAAUAACUACAAAUCAGUCUUGAACAGAACUCCUUCAUAUUAUCUAAUUUAUAAAUCAAAGAACUACAGGGGACCAGUCAUUGGCCACCAUCAGUUAUUUAAGAUAAGGUGUAGCUAAACUAAACUGAAUGAUCACCUGAAACCAGUGAUCAUAACUUCUUUCAAUAUGUAACAAUAAAUACACACACACUAAUUAAAUUUGACCUUUUCAAAGAAUUCAAUCUUUCCUUUAGUAGCACCAGAAGAACCUUUGGGUCAGCAAGCCCAUUUUAUGUGGUGAAGGUGAGGAUGAUGGUGAUCUUUUGACUUUAUCAUCCUGGAUAAAAUGAUGCCAAGUCCUUUUGCCUUUCAUCAAAGGCAGUUAAAUGGUAGAAAAUGAAAGAGUAUGAUUUUAGACGACUUGUUUCUAUUUAGCUUGAGUUCUACCACUAACUAGCUGGUAACACUGAGAAAUCAUUUAAAUUCUAUGGGUUAAAUAUUAUAUGAUUAAAACAAAUCUUCAUAACUCAAUACACCUCUCUUUCCAGCUGGACAUUUUGAUCACUCUUUUGUAUUCUUCUUUUUUAAAAUUUUUUUAGUGUUUAUUUUUGAGACAGAGACAGAGUAUGAGCAGGUGAGGGGCAGAGAGAGGGAGACACAGAAUCCAAAGCAGGCUCCAGGCUCUGAGCUGUCAGCACAGAGGCUGACAUGGGGCUAGAACUGCCGAACUGUGAGAUCAUGACCUGAGACAAAGUCAGACGCUUAACCGACCGAGCCACCCAGGCGCCCCUCUUUUGUGAUAUUCUUUCAUUUCACAUACAAAGAAAUAAUUACCAGGGAAAUGAAGUGAACCAAUCAGAGGAAAACAGUACAAAGGUCUCCUGACUUCUGAAAUUUUAUUAAGAAAUCAAACAUUGUAGGUACAUCCCAUCUCAACUCAGAGGUUACUGCUAUUCUGGGAGUGGUAUCUUUCUUUUCCAUUUUAUUGUACUUUUGCUACAUAUAUAUGUAAAUAAAUAAUACAUAAUACUGUUUUAAGUGUUGAAUGUAAGAAUUCUCUUACUAUUGGCUUAUUUCACCCAACAUAAUGUUAUUUUAUCCAUGUUGACAUAUGUGGUAGUAUAUAACUGCUAUAUAGUAUUUCAAUCAAGUGAUAGACCUCAACUUGUUCAUCUAUUUUCUUGAACAGUGGCUUUCAACCUUUUUUUGGUCAUGAAAUCCAUAGAGAGUAAAAAUACAUUUUAUGUGGUGACCCAGUAGAUAGAUAUGUGUAUCUGUGAAAUCAAACUUUACCUUUUUAUUUAUCCCUGUUGUAUGUGAUGUACUCUAUUCCAUUCUACUUCAUUUUUUUUUUAAUGCUGGUUAUGACACACUAAAUAUAUAGCCCUCUAUUGGGUUUCAACCUGACAUUUGAAAAACACUGUUCUGGGAGAAUUAUUUUCAAACUGCUAUAAUACUUCCAAUAAUCUGAUACUCCUCUAGGAUGGGGUGGGAAGCUACGGGUAGGAGAGUAAGCGCUGAUUAGAAUUUUUUCAAGCAAGGAAGGAUGUAACUAAAUAGAAAUAUGUUAAACCUUUGGAUGGUUUAGGUACAGAAAACAAGUUUGUGAACCAUGGUUUUAGGCAGUGAAGCUGAUUUCUUAUCAUGAGGUAAUUCUGAAAAACUGUAUAGAUUUUUAAAUAAAUGACUCAUAUUUUAAAUUGAUGUUGCAAGCUCACUGCUUUAAGGAUUCCUAAGAACAGUCUAUUUGUAAAUUGGAAUGAAUAUUUUUAGAAAGCGAAUAAAAGCCACUCCUUUUAACUUAUAUAUUUAUUUGUCAUGGUGAAUGAAGAAUGUCCAUAACUCAGGGAAAUGGCUUUAUUUAUGUUUCCAUAAGCUACAUCAAUAAGCUUUAUGCCUCAGUUGCAUUACAGUGUAUUAUUUGCAGACUUAAAUACAAAUGACUUCAUUGACUUAAAGAUCUCCCAUGAAGAUGUUGUAAUGGGGAUUUCUAUGUUGAAUCAAAGUGGGACCAUUUCUUUUACAAAAGAAAAAUAUUUAAUUCUAAUAUGGUUACUUGUUAUAUUGGUCUUUGAAGGUGCAUUUUAGCCUAUGGCUGUAACCAGAGACAUAAGAAUACUUUGGUUUCAGCAAGAUUGGCCAUUACUGUUUGGUUUUUGGCAUUAUCAUCUGACUUAAGUACUCUAUUCCUUUUGUCAUCAGUUCUCAGUAUACAAUGUUUGGUAAGAUCUAAUGACUUUGAUGAAUAAACCAGUCUUCAGAAGAUCCAGAGGUCAGAAGUUGCCUUGUUUCCUUACCCUGAUUUUUAAGGAAGUAAUGGUGUUGAGUUGGCAGAGAAAACAAAUAUGCCAAAACCUUGAAGAAAGAAAACUCAAAAUGUAAGUGCAGGGGAAGCAAGUGUUAGGAGGCUAUCAUUCCAAUUAGGAGCCAUUGUAUAGCCAUGAUCUGCAGCAAUUUAGGCCUCUUGAAUCUUUCACCUUGUGUUACAGUGCUACAAUUUCUGGCCACAAAGUAAAGAUAUAAAUAAUAAUGGCAUAUUUAACUUCUGAAGGCAUGGCUGUCAAUCUGAUUCGAGAUCACAGGAGUCAAAAAGUUGAUAAGGCAAUUGAAAUGGAAUAUGGGAGCUCCAAGUAGGCCAACUCAUCAUGCCACACUCUCAGUUCAACCACACUAUUUGCUGUCUCCUCUGAUUCAAUAUAACACUGCUCCUUCCCCUCCCAAACCUUUCUUACCAUGGUCCCUGAAACUCCUCUCUUAAGCAAAACAAGCAAGAAAUUCCAUCCUACAUCCUCUCACUAAUUUAAAAAAUAUUUGUUUCCUAAAUGAAAGAACUCUCCAUUGAGGCCACUACUCCCUUUUAAGCUGGGGUGAACAUGUAGUUUAACAUAGAAAUCAGAACUAAAAGAAAGCACUAUUAAUAGUUAUGUCAUUACCACAGGUGCAAAUUGGGACUAUUAUUGACAAAGCAGAUGUCAAGGUCACCCCACCUAUAGUCCUCUCAAGUCAAGGCCACUGAUUUUCCUAUAAUUCACUUAGCUUAGGGUUAGAAAAUAGGAUCAGCAUCUCCUAUACAACCUGAACCAUUUUUUCUUCAGAAUAUAUGUAUUCUUAAAUAUAUAUAUUUUUUCAGAAUAUAUAUAUACACGUAUGUAUGUAUGUAUAUAUAUAUACAUAUGUGUAUGUAUGUAUAUAUAUAUACAUAUGUGUAUAUAUAUAUAUGUGUAUAUAUACAUACGUAUAUAUAUUAGAAUAUUUAUACUUUUGUGUAAAACUCCAGUUCAUCUGAUGUCCUUCUUCACUGCUACCUCCUCACUAUUCUUCCUCCUUGUUCUUAUUUAUUAGCCUUACAGGGACUAGCUCUCCAAAGACUUAAGCACCUAGUUCAAUAUCUUCCUCUACUUCCAAGACCCAAGAUAACUUCCUGAUUAUCCUAUCCCUUUUCUAAUAAUCCAGCCCCCAGAAGUCGUGACUUCUCAACCUCCAUUCCGGAUCCUAGUAUCUUGUUAUUCAAUAGAAAUAUCAAACUUCCAUUCACAGUCCUGUAUACUUUUAUAUCUCUCACUCAGUAUUCCCUUUCAGACAAGCUCUUCAACCCCAAUGGGACUCAAGGUCUCUAUAUCCCUCUACCUUUUGUAUUGGUUGGCACCCUUUCUGUUGGCAUCCUUCUCUAUGUGGCUGACUCAACAGUCCAUUACUUUCUUUCUUUUAAUUAAAGUCAACUUUAGUUCAGAGUCUUACAGCUCCCUACUUGUCUAAAUUUCUCUACCGGGUCAAUCCUGUGGUUCAUAUUGUCAAAAUCAUUAUACCUGGUCUAUGAGCUCACCUAUAAGUUAUAGCAUCAAGUAUACGGAUGGUUUAUUUGUGGUCACCAGCCUCAACUGUUUCCUCUAUUCUGCCCAUCUAUUUUCCACAUACUUUUUAGUUACCAUCUCUCACAUUCUUCAUAGCAACCAUCUCAAGCUUAUUCACUUUUGUUAAACUUUCAAUCCAGCCACUAUUCCCUUCCUUCUCAGUUAAUAACACCUUCUUCCAACCCUCCCCAACUUCCUAUCAUCAACUAACAGACUUAUUUGCAGAUAUUCAUCUUUUCUUACUUCUCUUAAGUAUAAGGGGUAUCUCUUCCCCUAUCUGAAGCUAAUUAUUUCACUUGUGCUCUAGAUUUUUUUUUUCCUGUCCUUGAAGGGACCUCACUUUACCAAUUUUUUUUCUAUCUCCAAUCCCUAAAUUGCUACUGGCAUCUUCUGAUCAGCAUGCUGAAGUCUUAAAACAAACAAACAAAAAACAAAAAACUUCCCUGAGCCCCAUAUCCUCCUCCAGCUACUAGCCUCUGUCUUUCUUUUUAAAGCCAAACUCAUUGAAAUUAUUGCUCUAUACUCACAGCCUGUAUUUCCUCACUUUAUGGUCUUCCCAAUGACUCUGAUCUGUUUUCUGCUGUCAUCACUAUAGGCAGAAUUUGUUGCUGUUUUUCUCUUCCUUCCAUCUUCUUAGAUCUCCUGGUUUUCCUGUCAGAUCUCUGAAUGAUCCCAUUUAGACAGCUUAUCUCAAAAAUGCUGUUUGUCCCUCAUGAAUCUCCUUAAGUAGCCUGGCUUGACUGAGGCUGAAUAAUUCACAGAAGUUCUAAAACAGGAAAAAGGAUGAGACCAUGAUAUUCUUGAGGGUCAGGAGAGAGGUCUGGGCAGAUGAUGAUGGUCAUGUGCAUGUGAGGAAUGGAGUAGCUUACUGAGCUUUACUAUCUAGGGUCUUGCCUUUAGCCUUGUGCGGUUAUAGAAACACAAGUUUAUAGAUGCACUUAGGACAACUAAAAACAUUUAAACUCCUAAGACAUGACUAUAUAAACCCAGAAACAUUUAUACAUAAAGGAAAAUAAUUUUCAAGCAUACUAUCUCCACAUAGGAAAAUCACAAGGAAAGUGCAAACAUCACUAAGUUGACAAUGUUGGGCUUGGAAUUGAUCAAAGGGUUCUGUGUAUGAAAGACAGUCUAAUGGUACCAGGUCUGUAGCCUACAGUGUCCAUCUUCACAUCAAGAAUAUUCUCAAAGACUUAGGAGAAGGGUACCCCUCUCUCAGAUAUAUUAAGCUUUGAAGAAAGAGGAUUCCUAUCUGAGUAUUUAACUAGUCUUCUGUUAAGCAUUUAUUCUUGAACAUAAGUAUCAGGAGAUGUUCAAUUAUUUUUAAGAAUAUAUUAUGAACAUACCAGACCCCUCAUUCAUUUUAUUUUGGGGCUAUUUCAAGAUGUUUUGGGAAGCUCUUCUGCCUUAAACAGGUUAUUCAAAAUGUGCUAAAACAAACUUCCCCCAAAGCUAUCAGUCAGCUUCCUUCAUAAAUAGAAUCUCUGCUAUCAAAGUAUUAUUUCUUUUUGUUUUUAGUAAAAAACCCUGCUGUGAGAGAACAAAUACAUAACUUCUAUACCUAUGCAAAGGGGGACAGAAGAACCUAAUUAAAAUAGCAUAGUUUCAUGUCUCUACUCCAGUAUUCAAUUUGUAAAUUAAAACAGAAAAAAAAUCCUAAUCUCACAGGCUUCAUUUAAUGGAUCCUAGCAAAAUGCUCAAAUUGACCUUUACUAUAAACUGAGAGCUGCUCUCCACUAGAAAAAAAAAUCUGUUUCUUGAAUUCAAAAUGUCAUUUAAGAAUACCAAAACCAUUUUAAAUCACAAUAUUCACUACACAAAGUCAGUCACUCAUUCUUUGCACAUAUAGGUGGGUUAAGUCUACAAAAGGAAGGAGUUUGAUGCUUAUGUUUGGGGAAGCAAUGAAUCAGAAGUGAUCACUUUUGAAACAAAAGUGCAAAUGUGCUUGGUGAUCCAGAAUUUAAAGUUAAGAUCUUGUCUCUAUCUCUUUGUUGCCAUUAAUUGAUACUCAGUUCUUUAUGGGGUGAUUAUCUUUUAAUUCACUCUCAGUGGUUCUCUCAUGUCAUUCACUGGUUCAGAAGAACUCAAGGAAGGUACAGAUGAAUACCUGAUGUUAAAGUAUUAGAUGUCAAAUAGGUUAUGUUUCACAUAGAUAGGCACUGGACUUGGUAGAGUUCUAUAUUGAUAAAACAUUUGAAUAAACUUCUAAGUAUAUCGUAGACAUUUGGGUUUUCUUCCAAAUGGUUCAAUAUUAGAUAGUAGUUACCUAAAGGGCUGGAGUUAACUGCAUCAACAGUUCUGUAUGAUUGAUAAGUAUAUUUGGCUAUUUAGGUGACAGUAUAUCAUGGUGGUUAUUACUAUUGGCUUUUUAAAACUUAAAAUAUGUCUUUGAGUCCAGCUCUGACAUUGUGGUAUCCUGAAAAAGAUAGUAAUGUAUUCAUGCUUCAAUUUCUGCAUGUGAAGAAUGGGGCUAACAUUAUCUCUGUUAAAAAUCGCUAUGGGGUUAAAUGAGAUAAUGCACGUAACAUGCUUAUCAUGAUGUUUGGCAUAAAGUAAAUGCCUAUAAUGGUAAUGAUGGUAUAUAGCUAGUUCCACUGAUACUCCAACUUCAAAAUAUUUUGUUAAUGUUUAUUUUUGAAGGAGACAGAGAGAGAGAGACAGAGCGUGCGCAGGGGAGGAGCAGAGAGAAAGGGAGACACAGAAUCCAAAGAGGGCUCCAGGCUCCAAGCUGUUAGAAUAGAGCCUGACAUGGGGCUUGAACUCACAAACCAUGAGACCAUGACCUGAGCUGAAGUUGGACGCUCAACCGACUGAGCCACCCAGGUGCCCUGAUACUCCAACUUUGAGAUCAGUUAUAUCAUCAAUCUAAAGUGUUGUAGAUUCUGCAUAUUUAUUUCUCAAAAAUGAUAUAUUUCGAAAACAUAAUCUUCCAAUGAAGUAUUGCAAUGUUCUUACUCUCUGCUAAAAACUGUAUCUGCAAUAUAGUUUAUAGGACUUUUGAUGAUAUACUUAGUCUACUAAGUGGGACUUUCCCAGGUGCCUAGUACCUCACCAUGACGUCAAGUUUUAAAUACCUUUUUGAAGCCUAAACAUAGCUGUUAAGGGGAGGGAUACUGAUGGUGUUAUUCUCAUCUGCAUAUAUCAUGUCUUGAGACAGUUCAGAAUGCCACACUAACCUCUAUAUUAAGCUAACCUUUCUCUAAACCACAAGUCAUGAGAAUUGGGGGAGGUGACAUUUGACUUUACUACCUGUAAAUGACCUUUCUUUGAUUAAUUUCCCUCUUCGAAACCACACACUGUCUUUCAGAGUUAUCAAGCAGGAAACAGCUCCCCAUUUCUAUCCCUGUGUGGCUUUUAAUUCCCUAAGUUGUCACCACCUGGCUAUAAAAGAGGGGGAAGGUUGAAUCCCUGGAUUCUUUUCUUCACUAUCUGUUGGUAAUGUGGUCUUCUAUUUUCUUCAGUCUAUAUGGGGUUGUUUAAACAUAUGAUUAGACUCGGCUGUACUGUGAAAGAAUUUUGGUUCACAAGGAGCUGAGGCUUCUCACAAAAACUGGACAUGUAAUUCCAAAGCUUUUCACAGGAUUAAAACAAAACAAAACAAAAUGAAACCAAACAAAACUGGAUCAUAUUCCUAUUGGCACUGGUUUAACUAUGAAGUAUUUCCUUGAGAUGUAACCUGUCAUCACUCUGCUUUCUUUGACUAUGGGCAUCUCUAGCAGAAUCCAACUCUUGGUAUGAAAGGUCUCUAGGCUAAUCCGCCCUAUUUUCACUUCCCAAUUCCAAAGUCAGAUGAUCAUUUUUGGUUUGCCUUCUUAUCCCCAGAGAGUGUUUAUUAUAUUAUAUUUAAAUUAGGGGCAUCUGGGUGGCUCAGUUGGCUGAGCAUCUGACUCUUGGUUUUGGCUCAGGUCAUUAUCUCCUGGUUCAAUUAAUUGGUUCAAGCCCUGUGUCUGGCUCUGUGCACUGUGCAGGGAGUGUGGAGCCUGCUUGGGAUUCUCUCUCUCUGUUCUUCCCUCACUCAGGUGCUCUCUCUCCCUCUCUCAAAAUAAAUGAAUAUACUUUAAAAAUAAAUAAUUAAUACUCACUAGACAAUGCAUUCUCCUUAUUGUUAUCCUUUCUAUAUGUGAGUUGUGUCUUCGGAAAGUUGAAUCAUUUCUUUCUUCUCUUGUGCUAACACUUUUUUGGAGAGUUCAAUAACCUCAUUAUACUUUUUAUGUUCAUAAAUUUUAAGGUUGUUUUAGAAGAAUUUUUUUCCUCCAUGCCUUUUAGAGUUUUUUUUUAAGCAUCAACUAUCUACACUUGACCCAGCUCAAAGUUCUUUCAUUUUUGCAUUAAUAGAAUUCAUUUCCUCAAAUACUGAACACAUCUGCAUUUUAAAGCAACUAUGGUAUAUUCUGAUGACAUCUUUAAAAAUGUACACUUUCAUUUUUAUUCAGAAACUUCUCCAGUCCUCACCCCCCUGGCCUUAAGUUUAACUCCCACAAUUUAUAAUUCUCAUUUGGGAUAGAGACAGCUUAUCUUCUGCUCUACAUCAAAAUGUGCUCUUUAGAAGCAAUCUGAUAUUAUUCUAUCAAAGUGUGAAUUUAAGUCACCCUGUUACCUUUUCUAGGGACAAGGGUAUUUGCACAAGAACCUUAUCUCUAAUUGCAAAGUGACACUCUUAAGAAUUGUUAAAAGAAACUAUUGUUCAAGGCAGAUGGAAUGAGAAGACCCUUACCAUAUAGGACUCACAUGCCACCCAGCAGACCCCAGAUUAUCAAUGUGGUCAGGAGGUAUUAAUAUGUUUUACUUAUGAACUGGAUUUGGUAUCUUAGAAUGUUUUCUUUGAAAUUAUGGUUCUAUUUCUGGCUUGCUUGCUUCUUCAUAGUGCCAAUCUAGGUCGGCAGGAGAAUAUGAGACCAUUGUUCCAUAUCCCGCUUAAAAGAGAACACCACUUCAAAGAGAACAACAACUGACAAAAAUAAAACAAGCAAUCAGUUUUAAAA